AACUCCUCACAACAACAACAACAAAACAACAACAGUCGAGAUUAUUCCUCCUUCAGGAGCUGAAACCAGCUUAAGGAAAUUUAAGCUGCUUAGCAUCAUACGUCAUCAUCAAAGCUUAGAGUUUUGUAUUUAAAUCUGAGUUACAAUAGCAGGUGUUGGUGUCUUGGGAGCGUGUGGCAGCAGUGAUCCAUUGGUGUCUCCUAGUAUUUGUAAAUGUAAAAAGAAAGUAAAAAACUUGGAAAUCAGAGAGAGCUGAGAUUGAAUUCUAAAGGCAACUAGUCAUUUUGAGAUUUAUAGUGUAGACUACCGAUUUCUGACAUAACAAAGUACCCCGGUAUCUAAAAUAACUUGAUGUCUUGCAGUGUAUAGAUAUAUAAUUUUGUUUGACUUGCAGCAUUUGAGGUGUUUUCAACAAUUUUUGAAUUGCCAACAUGUCUGUUACAUACCAAGAAGCACUAGUCAUUUUCUUAAAAUCAGAACAGGAUUGUGUCAGAGCUCAUCAGAACAUGUGCGCAAAGUUCGGUAUCGAAGAAGACAAAGUAAACGCCAAAAGCUUGUACGGUAAAUUGAAAAGAGCUUUAUUAAGAGCAAAAACAUUGAAAAAAUCAAAGAAUGAGAUCAAAUAUGCCAGGUUUCUGACAUCAGCCUUUAAACUACCAGAGAGUCGAGAAUUAAAACAAGAAAUGGAGGAAGAGAAAAGAAAAGAAAAUAUGGAAAGAAUUAAAACGAUAUUUGAUCAAAAUACAAAAAUCAGAAAGCUUACGAAUGAUGUCGCCCUCUUAAGAGAAAGACUGAAGUCAAUAAAUUGUGCAAAGCUUAAUCAAAAGAUUAAGAGACAGGCUAUAAGGAUAAGAGCUCAGAAUAUACUUAUUAGUAAACUAAGGAGGGAGCUUAACGAGUAUAAGAAGAAGAAUCAGAGAACUAGAUCUACACAGGAUGACACUGUCAGAUUAGAUAUGCCAGAAAAUAAUGAAACUGUUGUACAAAUAAAGCAAGAAAGUGAACAUUUCUGAACAAAAGUUUAAACCCAAUGAACCAAAGCUAUUUAAAUGUUGCACUAAAAGACCAGGCAAGCAUUUUGAUUUGACACACAUUAUGCGGGCACUUUGAAAUAUUCUGAUUUUAAAAGCAAGUUGUAGGGUUAAAGAUAUUUUAAAAGUUGUAAACUUCAGUAAAUGUAAUCUAGACUCUGUUCCUGAAAGAAGUUCCAGUAAUGGAUUAAGAUUACAUUUAAAAGCAUAAAUUUCACACAUUUAUAUUUUUGCCCAAGCAUGCUAAAAAUUUGUGGUAAGUUUGCUUAAGUUUGCUUUACAAAGGUGAAAAUCAUGUUUUGUAACAGAAGUGGUAAACCUAUGUUAUAAAGAAUGUAUUACUGGUCAUUGUAUAUUAUUAUUGUUAAACCCAUGCAGCAUGAUCAGGUUCACCUAUAUUAUAAAGAAUGCCAUGCAGCUCGAGAUGAUGCACUUGCUAUUUUAUUCCAAAUUGUAUAGCAGCUUGCCUCUUGAUUCUUUUGUUGGGUCAACAGUACUGGACUUUCUUGUUACAGCGCUUUCAAAGGUACCUGAGAACAAUUUUAAACAAUAACAACCAUUCAUCCAGUCUCAAUGUUUAAAAAUGUUUGCCCUACCAAUGAUAUUAUAUAUUAUGUUACAUACUUGACAAAAUUAAAUUUACAAUUCAUUGAAUAGGUCAUUUGAUAGAGAUAUCACAUUUUCAUAGUAUUACAUGGUCUUGAUUUUUUUUAUUCCUUUGAAGUGACAAAAGUACCUUCAUUUACUUCUUUGCAAACAAGGAUGAACAUGUCUGGCUAAAACUUGCAUGAAAAUAAUUUAAGUGGCUACCAUUUUGGACUGCAAACAUUUUUCUCAACUCCAGACCAAAUCCGUUUCCUUCUUACAUAGUCGUUAAACGUAUACCAGGUCCUGAUUAUUUCCCCCCCUCUCUCCUUCCGCCGUUCGUCUGUCUGUAACAUUUUGUGUCUGCUCAAUAUCUCCUGAACCCCUUGAAAGAUUUUCAUGAAACUUGGGUCAAAUGAUCACUUCAUCAAGAUGAUGUGCAGAACUCAUGAAUCAGCCAUGUCGAUUCGAAGUCAAGGUCACAACUCUAGGUCAAAGGUUUGAAUCUUCCAUUUUGUGUCUGCUCUGUGUCUCCUAAACCCCUUGAAGGAUUUUCAUGAAACUAAGGUCAAAUGAUCACUUCAUCAAGAAGUGGUGCAGAACUUUUGAGUCAGCCAUGUCGACUCAAGGUCAAGGUCAUAACUUAAGGUCAAAGGUCUGAGCCUUCUAUUUUGUGUCCGCUCCGUGUCUUAAACACCUUGAAGGGUUUCUUUUUGAAGCUUGGGUCGAAUGAUCACCUCAUCAAGAGGAUGUGCAGAAAUUAUGAUUCAGCCAAGUCAGCUCAAUGUCAAGGUCACAACUUAAGGCCAAAGGUUUGAGCUUUCCAUUUUGUGUCCACUCUGUAUCUCCUAAACCCCUUGAAGGAUUUUAAUGAUACUUUAGUCAAAUGAUCACCUCCUCAAGACGAUGUGCAGAACUCAUGAUUCAGAAAUGUCUGCUUAAGGUCGAGGUCAUAACUUAAGGUCAAAGGUCUGAGCCUUCCAUUUUGUGUCCUCUCUGUAUCUCUAUAAAUUAAUUGAUGUCGGCAUACAUGGGCUAUAAAAUAUAAUUAGCAACGUCAAUGCUUCUACCCAGUACCAUCAACCCUUUCACUAUCGAUAACAGCGGCGGGGGAUAUAGCAGUCUUUCAGACUGCCUUGUAUAUUUGAAAAUGGAUCACCUUGGUAUCCUAGUGGUAGAACGCCUGCUUUGAGUGAGGGAGGCUGUGGGUUCAUCCCUGGCUGUGUCAUACCAAAGAGGUAAAAAUGGUACUAGUAGCUUCCUCGCAUGGCGCUCAGCAUUAAGAGGAUAGUGCUAGGACUGGUCAUUACGAUGUCAGUGUAAUGUGACUGGGUGGAAUAUAUCAUGUCACAUGUCUGUGGCGUGAUAUUCCAGCGAGGCAGCACUAUAAAAUUGGGUAUUGUGCUCACACACACACACAUAUUUGAAAAUGUCAACAUUUUCUACAUGUGGUUAGAUUAAACAUAAAAUUGACAUGUAUAUGUGUAUUGACAGUAUUAUGCAUUACUUCUGAAAUAGUACACACUUAAAAUAUAUGUAGCAGAACACAACAUAAAUGUGUAUUACCUCUGAAAAUUGGAAUUUCUUUAACUAAUGACUGAUACUGCCAUGACAUUUAAUUAUAAAUGUAGCUCUGCAUGUACAAUUGAUUCAUAUAUUUGGUAAAGUUAGAUACAUUUGAUGAGAGAUUUCAACAUUGGAUAUCUGUAAAAAAAAAAAAUGUUCAGACUAUAUUUUGUUAUAUGCAUACUACUUUAAAAUGCCUAGAUGUUAUAUUUGAGCAGUGCCAUGAGAAAACCAACAUAGUGGGUGUGCGACCAGCAUGGAUCCAGACCAGCCUGCGCAUCCGCGCAGUCUGGUCAGGCUCCAUGCUGUUCGCUUUUAAAGCCUAUUGGAAUUGGAGAAACUGUUAGCGAACAGCAUGGAUCCUGACCAGACUGCGCGGAUGCGCAGGCUGGUCUGGAUCCGUGCUGGUCGCAAAGCCACUAUGUUGGUUUUCCCAUGGCACGGCUCAUUUGUUUUUAUGAUGUUGUGAUAAUACUUCUUGUUAUAUGUUUACUUUAUAUUGAUGAUAAUAUGUCACAAUUUGUUAUACAUGUAUUUUGAGACAGAUUAGUUGAGAUGCAGUGGUUUCUUGAUAGUUUAAAACUUUUAUUUUUGAAUUUGGUAAUAGCACUUGCUUAUAUUGCUUUCUAUAAGUGGACAUAAUUAACUGCUUGUUUAUUAUGCAACAUUGCCAAGUGUUUCUGUGUUUGUAAAGAGUUGGAUAUACAAUGUACAUUGAAUUAAAUAAACGUUAUGAAAUUGUUAAAA